GACGAACGCUGGCGGCGUGCUUAACACAUGCAAGUCGAACGGAAACGCCCUGCCUUUGUGGGGUGCUCGAGUGGCGAACGGGUGAGUAACACGUGAGUAACGUGUCCUUGACUUUGGGAUAACUUCAGGAAACUGGGGCUAUUACCGGAUAGGAGCUCUUGCUGCAUGGUGGGGGUUGGUUAGUUUCGGCGGUUGGGGAUGGACUAGCGGCGUAUCAGCUUGUUGGUGAGCUAGUGGCUUACCAAGGCAAGGACUGGUAGCCUGCCUGAUAGGGUGACCGGCCACAUUGGGAUUGAGAUGCGACCCAGACUCCAACCGGAGGCAGCAGAGCGGAAUGUUGUACGAGGCGCGGAGGCCUGAUGCAGCAACGCCACGCGCGGGGAGAGUGCAAUCGGGUUGUGAGCCACUUUCGCCUGUGACGGAAUGUUAGUGACAUUAAUGGGUGAAUAAGCACCGGCUAACUACGUG
rnacentral:rRNA from 1 species